rnacentral:rRNA from 1 species
UACGUAGGGGGCUAGCGUUGUCCGGAUUUAUUGGGCGUAAAGAGCGUGUAGGCGGCCAGGUAGGUCUGCUGUGAAAACUCGAGGCUCAACCUCGAGACGUCGGCGGAAACCAUCUGGCUAGAGUCCGGAAGAGGAGAGUGGAAAUUCCUGGUGUAGCGGUGAAAUGCGCAGAUAUCAGGAGGAACACCGGUGGCGAAGGCGGAUCUCUGGGCCUGUUCUGACGCUGAGGAACGAAAGCGUGGGGAGCGAACAGG